UCAUGAACUGGUGGGAAAUUCCUUGAUUAUGCCAAUAUCGCCUAGGAAUAGGGGUAGGACGGUCAAUUGUAGUUGCUUCUGAUCGCAUUGCAUUAUUGGUUACUAGGGGAGGCUAGGGAUAGCAAGCCAGUAAUUAAUAAUAGGCUCUUUUCACCAAGGGAUUGGGUUAAGGGUAAAUAAGAAAGUAUGCAUGGCAAUUAGAUAAAUUAGUGAAUUAAAUAAGAAGAGUAGAUAUAUGAGAGUGGAUAAGAUGAAAUUGUAAACCCCAACAACACCAUUCAUCCAUAGUUUCACAAAACCAAUUGAAUCAACUGCAUUGCAUGUUUAUUUUUGUUCUUUGCAUAUAACCACCAAAUUUAUUCUCUUCUCAAGUCUUACACGAUUAGGUUACAUGAAAGUUAAGGCCUAAGAGUCCUUUGGGAAAACGAUACUCGGACUUACCCGUUUAUAUUACUUGAUAACGAUCUGUUACACUCGAAAACUAAGC
rnacentral:lncRNA from 1 species